rnacentral:rRNA from 1 species
AGCGAACGCUGGCGGCAGGCCUAACACGUGCAAGUCGAACGCCCCCUUCGGGGGGAGUGGCAGACGGGUGAGUAACACGUGGGAACGUGCCCAUCGGUCCGGAAUAACCCAGGGAAACUUGGGCUAAGACCGGAUACGACCGAGAGGUGAAAGAUUUAUCGCCGAUGGAUCGGCCCGCGUCUGAUUAGCUGGUUGGUGGGGUAAUGGCCCACCAAGGCGACGAUCAGUAGCUGGUCUGAGAGGAUGAUCAGCCACACUGGGACUGAGACACGGCCCAGACUCCUGCGGGAGGCAGCAGUGGGGAAUAUUGGACAAUGGGCGCAAGCCUGAUCCAGCCAUGCCGCGUGAGUGAUGAAGGCCCUAGGGUUGUAAAGCUCUUUCGGCGGGGACGAUAAUGACGGUACCCGCAGAAGAAGCCCCGGCUAACUUCGUGCCAGCCGCCGCCGUAACAC